GACAGAGGCCUCAAGCGUUAGGCGGAAUCACUGGGCUUAAAGCGUGUGUAGGCGGAUCGUUAAGUGUCUUGUGAAAUCCCACGGCUCACCCGUGGAACGGCUGGGCAUACUGGCGAUCUUGGGCCAACUAGGGGCAACUGGAACAAGCGGUGGAGCGGUGAAAUGCGUAGAUAUCGCUUGGAACGCCGAAGGUGAAAACAGGUUGCUGGGGUUGUGCCGACGCUGAGACACGAAAGCCAGGGGAGCAAAACGGGG
rnacentral:rRNA from 1 species